rnacentral:misc_RNA from 1 species
AACUUCCCACCUCCGCCCUCUUGGAAGAACGCGAGAGCUCGUGUGUUGGCCCUGCGUGGACGCAUACGAUAUCCAGUCCCACGAACAUAGGCACGCACUCACACAAGCGCAGGGACGUGUGCACCAGGUGCUCACACACACCGUCUCAUAAGCGGCAAGACGACACGACCUGAAGGCACGGAAGCCGUGGAAUCAACAGCGCCACAAGCUGUUUCUCCUGUUCUUUCUUCCCUUUUUUCAGCUCACUAUGGCGACCUACGUCCCAGGUGAUCGCGUAUGGGUGUACAUAGAAGGGGACGGCUGGUGGCCGGCGCGCGUGCUCAGCGACGAGGAAAUGGGCACCCGCACCCCCGGCUUUGACCUGGCGGUGCAGUUCUACGCUGGCGUGGAGCAGCCGGCGACUCUGUACGAGCUGAACAGCCACGCCGACGCCGCAAACAUCUGCUUCUUCGAAACGUCGUCGGAGAAGGCGGUGACGGGCAACCCUGAGCUAGAGGCAUCGAUCCGCUGCGCUUGUGCCGAUGCGGAGGCCAACCCGCUGAAGUCGGCUUCUGCCAUAGUGGGAGGCGCCAGGGUGGCAGCCGGCGGCUCGGGUGCCGCUGGGAGCGCGGGUGCCGCGGCCGUCAACCGUGCCGCGGUGAAGCGCGUCCGCGACAUGGGCGACGAUGACACGGGCACCUACGGCGGUGGCGCUGCCGCCUCGCGCUCUGCUUCUGGGUACCACCACCUGCGCAGCGACGAACUUCACGAAUUGUCGAGCAAGAUUUCGUCAGCUGUGGCAGCGGCAGACUUGACGGCGGUGCGCGCGGCCCUCUGCCAGCUAGACGGCGUGGACGUGUACCUGACGGAGCUGGAGGACACGAAGAUCGGUGUUGCCGUCGGGUCAGUACUGAGCCAGCCGGCACUGAAACCGCUGUGGCCCCUUGCCCGCGCCAUGAUCUCGUUCUGGGCACGCCACCUGCCUGCCGAGACUCUCGCAGCCAUCCGUAGCGUGCAGCAACGCCAGCUGCCUGUACCGGCUAUCAGUGCAGCGGCGGCAGCAGAGCCCUCUAGCCCGCACAACAAGCGGCAGCAGCCGCUUCCAGCUGUUCCUAGCCGGAGCCCCUUUGCGAGCAGCGUGUCCCCAUCCGCGGCAACCGCAGCAGGUGGAGCUGUAGGAGGAGCAGCGGCCGGCGCGUGCUCUGGUGAUGUGGCUCCGACACAGCGCAAGACGUUCUACGACAACGUCUACCAGCUCCUUGACAGUCCCUUGAGCACGACACGCUACGACGACACCGUCAUUGACGAGGUGGCCCGAAAGUUGGCGACUGAAAUCACUGACCGCGAUGAGCGCCAGAUGCUGCUGCUUCGGCUUCGCGAGGAGGAGCUUUCUUUCAUUCGCGAUCACCUCCUCUCUGGCGAGUGGACGCCAAAGAAGUACCUGGAUCAGCCGAACGAGGUGUUUACGACCAAGAGCGAGAAGGCCCGGCAGGAGCAGCGCAUCCAGGAAAAAAUGAAGGCGAUCGAGGCUGCCGACAAUGCCAUGCUAAACAUCACCUCUCUCUUCAAGUGUGGGCGCUGCGGCAAGCGCCAUUGCACCUUCUACGAGCAGCAGACGCGCAGCGCGGAUGAACCGACGACGAAGUACAUUACUUGUCUAGACUGCAAGAACACCUGGACGCAGGAGUAGACACGCAGAUAUCUGUGCAGUUGCGAAGCAUAUCCGCUGUGCGGGGUCUGCCACCCUCUCUCCCUCUCCUGCGCACGCUUCUCUUUCUGCCGUCGAGGCGGAGAGACGGAAGGGGGGGGGGUACGAAUAGGAGAUGGCGGUGCGAAGACAGAGGUGCUGGAAAGGACAACACACGCUCGGGAACACCUGGAUGCCUGUGUGUGUGUGUGUAUGUAGCUCUCUCUCUUUACCGUACGUAAUGCCUCGGAAUAAGGCGUACGCCGUAGGCAAUGAUGGCGUUGUCGGAGGGGGUUCACAGCUGCUGCUGUCCUUGCUAUGUUUCCCGGCGCGUGAGCGUAAGCGUUUACAUCAAAAACGACUCGGGCGCAGUGAAGGGGGUGGGGAGACUCAGCACUGUGUGUGUGUGUGUUUGGGGAGUAGGGGACGGUAAGGGCUGUGGUUUCGAGUGCCUCUCUCUCUCCCUGCGUCGUAUUGGUGGCCAGUGAUUGGCAGUGGUGGUGGGCUGGGUAGGAAAACUUGCCGAUGUUUCACGGUGCUCCUCACUACGUUCGUGUAGACGUUGACGGGCAUAUCUCCCUGCAGGGUGGAUACGGCGAUCACGUUAGGAGUGCUGAGCGAGAGUCGGCAACUUCGUUUGAGGAUUGCUUGUUGUCUCUUAAUGUUGUGUGGCUUGACGAAAGAGAGGGAGGGAGACAAAGAGCGAUGGUGAGUGCAGAUGGCGCAUCAUUUGUGAGUCCUCAGUGAUAACUUCCUCUUUUGUUGCUUUUCUAUUUCUUUUUUGGCUGUCCCCUUAUCCUAUAGGUCGAUUUUAAGCUCUGCAGCCACCGUGAGAUGAGCCGGCACACACGUUGCACACAAGCAUGCAGGCGAGUAGAAAGAAAUGGAGCUAGGAGAAUCAACGCUGCGAUGUGAGUCAUUCAUGCCUCUUCUUCUGUCUUUGUGUGUGUGUGUGUCUGUGUGUGCAGAAUAUGCCCUGGGACUAUCAACAUAAUAGGUGCCCGCCCGUUCCCUUCUUCUCCCUCUCCCACUC